UCAACAUUUUGGAACAUGUGUUGAUAAUGUGAUAAAACAUUUCCCUUUGCCAACAAUUGCGGAUAAUGCGAUUGCCUCAAAUAAACAUAAAAAACAGAAAAACAAAAAACCAGACAUCCUGAGUAAUAUAUUCCAGAAAUCAGAUUGUGCAUUUAGUGUUGCUAGGGAGGAUUAUGCCAUUUUGCUGCUCCAAAUCAUAAACUUUUCAUAGAGGAAGUGUUUCCCCAAGGACCAAAGAAUCCUUCCUUUUUCCCCAUUGUAAAUUUACCAUGCUUUUUGUCCUAGAUCUGUUGUUUUAGGUCAAUCAUAACCAAAAGAUGAAUCUUUAUGUAGUUAUUUCUGUAAACAAAAUUUUACUUGUUGAUGACUACAUUAGUGUUACUAAAACUUGAUUUGGCUUUGUAGAGGAGAUACAUCAUUGUGUUGUGAAUUUUAAUUUCACCUUCUAAUAGAUUUUGUGGUUUCAUUUUACCAGUUUUAAUAAUGGAACAAGUGUGGUAUUUUUAACUAUCAUACUUAAAUUUUGUGUUUAAUUUUUCUCUAAAUUAUAUUUAAUAUGUUUACUUUUCAGGAAUUACCCAACUCUGUCUUUUUGGUGAUGGAGUAUUGCAAUGGUGGAGACCUCGCAGAUUAUUUGCAAGCAAAAGGAACUCUCAGUGAAGACACCAUCAGAGUGUUUCUGCAUCAGAUUGCUGCUGCCAUGUGAAUCCUGCACAGCAAAGGAAUCAUCCACAGAGAUCUCAAACCACAGAACAUCUUGCUGUCCCAUGCUAAUCGCAGAAAAUCAAGUGUCAGUGGUAUUCGCAUCAAAAUAGCGGAUUUUGGUUUUGCUCGUUACCUACAUAGU